rnacentral:rRNA from 1 species
UACGUAGGGGGCUAGCGUUGUCCGGAAUCAUUGGGCGUAAAGAGCGUGUAGGCGGUCCGGUAAGUCUGCUGUGAAAGUCCAGGGCUCAACCCUGGAAGGCCGGUGGAAACUGUCGGGCUAGAGUCCGGAAGAGGCGAGUGGAAUUCCUGGUGUAGCGGUGGAAUGCGCAGAUAUCAGGAGGAACACCAAUAGCGAAGGCAGCUCGCUGGGACGGUGCUGACGCUAAGGCGCGAAAGCGUGGGGAGCAAACAGG